CAACCAGGAAUGUCCUUUCUCCUGGACUCCACCCAGCACGCUCCUGCUCAUUUUUCUCUACAUAUAUAUCCUCUCCAUUUUGAGUUUCCAUAGCACCUUGAAGGCAAUUUAGAAUCAAGAUGGAACUGUGAAGUCAGUCGACUUGGCAAACAGGUUCACAGGUUUCCACAGGCACCCGUGUGAGUGCAGCCAGCUAAGGAAGGCCAUCGGGGAGAUGGAUAACUGGUCACCCAGCU